AACACCUCCAUCAGCCGCUCUAACCUGCUCGGCGCUCUUGUUUUUACGUUCCGGGCUCAGUGAUCUCCCGCACGGCCUCACUCGGUCACUACACCUCGACACUAGCAAGUCACCGCCGUGCCCACUGCCCUCUACUGGUGGUUUACUGCUACGCGGUGGAGGCUGAUGUGUGAACCCUGCCAGUCCCUUCUCUGAGGGUUCAUCGCGUGUGGCUUACGUAAGAGACCCUCCCGGAGCUCCAUGUCAGUGUGAACGAUGCUGAGGCUCCUUGGCGUGACUGGAAUUUUUCUCCCGCGGCGCCUGGUGAGUGGCGUCGGCGGCGUCGGCGGAGGUGGCGAGGUGAUGUUGAGCGUCACCUGCAGGAGCCGAGGGCCGUCAGCGUUGGGUUCUCACCUGGGCAUGAUGCUGGGGCUCUGGCCUGGUCCCUCGCACCCCUCUGGCAGCCCCGACCCAGUUUUUGUCACCGGCCACCAGAGCGAGCCGAGCGAGGUGCCGGCCGUCGUAUUUAUCAAAACAUCACGGACAGCGCCUGACUCGCCUGCACAAUGACGCGCCAACAGACUGUCGUGGUCGGCUCCUGCUGCUGCUGAUACUCCUGCUGUUCUACAUGUCAUUAAAGCCGCAUGAACAGCAUGUGUUAUCACCUUGGGAGCGGACCCACUCGGGAGGCCAGGCUGUGUCCCAUCCUCCUCCUCCUCUCCCACCUCCUCCUCCUGCUUCUGCUUCUUCUUCGUCUUCUCCUCCUCCUCCUCCUCCUCCUCCUCCUCCUCCUCCUUCUCCUCCUCCUCCUUCUCCUCCUCCUCUUGGCCUCCCAGCACACAGCACCGCUAUCCUUGUUCCGGAUGCUAUUAUUGCCGCCCCACACGCCGUCACCGCCAGCCUGGGCAGCGCUACUCUACGCCGACACUCAACGGGACACCUAUUUUGUGGCAGAUGCGGGGCAAGAAGGAAGGCAAGGAGGUAGGCUGGAGGUAGAAUAGAGAGUAAGAGGGGAAUAUGAAGGGGUUGGAAAGGAGUAAGCAAGUAAGUAGGCAAGCAGCAGGGUGCAAGCAGGAGGUAGGGUGUGAGUCAAAUAGACAGGGAGAGACAGGCAGGCAAGGAGGCAGGCGCAAGUA